rnacentral:rRNA from 1 species
GAUGAACGCUGGCGGCGUGCCUAAUACAUGCAAGUCGAGCGAACAGACGAGGAGCUUGCUCCUCUGACGUUAGCGGCGGACGGGUGAGUAACACGUGGAUAACCUACCUAUAAGACUGGGAUAACUUCGGGAAACCGGAGCUAAUACCGGAUAAUAUAUUAAACCGCAUGGUUCAAUAGUGAAAGACGGUUUUGCUGUCACUUAUAGAUGGAUCCGCGCCGCAUUAGCUAGUUGGUAAGGUAACGGCUUACCAAGGCAACGAUGCGUAGCCGACCUGAGAGGGUGAUCGGCCACACUGGAACUGAGACACGGUCCAGACUCCUACGGGAGGCAGCAGUAGGGAAUCUUCCGCAAUGGGCGAAAGCCUGACGGAGCAACGCCGCGUGAGUGAUGAAGGUCUUCGGAUCGUAAAACUCUGUUAUUAGGGAAGAACAAAUGUGUAAGUAACUAUGCACGUCUUGACGGUACCUAAUCAGAAAGCCACGGCUAACUACGUG